rnacentral:rRNA from 1 species
GACGAAGGUGGCGAGCGUUACUCGGAAUUACUAGGUGUAAAGCGUGGGCAGGUGGUUUGGUAAGUCUGCUGUGAAAGCUCCUGGCUUAACUGGGAGAGGCCAGUGGAUACUGCCAGGCUUGAAUAUGGGAGAGGUGACUGGAAUUCCUGGUGUAGCGGUGAAAUGCGUAGAGAUCAGGAGGAACAUCGAUGGCGAAAGCAGGUCACUGGACCAUUAUUGACACUCAUCCACGAAAGCUGGGGGAUCAAACAGG